rnacentral:rRNA from 1 species
GUAGUUAGCCGGAGCUUCCUCCUUGGCUACCGUCAUUAUCUUCACCAAGGACAGAGGUUUACAAUCCGAAAACCUUCUUCCCUCACGCGGCGUUGCUGGGUCAGGCUUGCGCCCAUUGCCCAAUAUUCCCCACUGCUGCCUCCCGUAGGAGUCUGGACCGUGUCUCAGUUCCAGUGUGGCCGAUCAGCCUCUCAGCUCGGCUACCCAUCGCAGGCUUGGUGGGCUGUUAUCUCACCAACUACCUAAUGGGACGCGAACCCCUCCUUCAGCGGAUUGCUCCUUUGACCUCAUCCCGAUGCCGGGUCGUGGUCUUAUGCGGUAUUAGCACUUGUUUCCAGGUGUUAUCCCCCUCUGAAGGUCAGGUUGUUCACGCGUUACUCACCCGUUUCGCCACUAAAAUUUAUCUUCCAUCCGAAAACUUCCGAUAAAUCUCCGUUCGACUUGCAUGUGUUAGGCACGCCGCCAGCGUUCGUCCUGAGCCAGGAUCAAACUCUGA